AGUUACGGACAGCCUCUUAAGUCGCCGGAAAAUUGCACGGCGACGAGGUCUUUCUUCCGGAAUUAGCUGGAAUGACGCACAGCUAUAAUAUUCUCACUAAAGCUCUGAUACCAUGUGAGAAAGCACGGGAGAAAAAUAUAUAUCUUGAUAUUAAACAUAAUUCAAUGAGCCCUAUAUAUAAUACACAUAACCUAACCUACUCCUAAUACACUUUGGAUUAGAGUUCUACUAUAAUUAGAGUUCUACUAUAUUUACAUAUCUAACAACAUCUAAAACUAUGAACUUAUAAAUCACUUUAAACCAUAUAAAUAUUAAUAUCAAACCACAGCCAUUUAAAAAUAUUGGACAGAUUACCAGCUCCAACAUUGAUAUCGUAUAAAUAUCAAUAUCAACCACAGCCAUUUAAGAAAAUGAAAUUCUUGACAGUGAAAUAAAAUACAAGAAACGAGUAUUACCUUAAUAGGAUCGUCUUUGCAUUCUAUCUUUUCUGAAACCUGUACCACUGGUACAUCUGUGGUUGCUGCCUCUGCUUCCAUUUAAAAAUAGUUUCACCUUGUGAAGUUCUUAUCGUAUCUGGAUUAUAGAAAACAGCAACGUUAGGAAGUUAAAGAUCAAUUAACAAGUAUUGCUAGGUUUGGACAUGCUGAAAAGUGAAAUCUUUUCAAUUCACAAUAACACAUUUUACUUCUCUAGCAAGUUAUUCAACUAUAUGAAUAUAGUACGUUACCUCCAAACAUUAUAAUUUAAAAGGGAUUGAAAAGAAAGAAAGAAGAAAAGAAAGAAAACGUUAUCUGUGUGGAUUGGUGUAUACAAAAUACUGGCAUAUGAUUCGUGCUCAUUUUUGUAAUAUUCAGAGUUGUUACAAAAUUCGUGCUCAUUUUAUAUAAGUAUCAAUAUAAAGAAAAAUUGACUUUGUCAUUUAAAAAACAAACAAAAAUAAAGGAGCAAUAAUUCGAUGUGGACAUAAUAUUUAUAUUUUCUCCAAUCUUAAAGUUAAUUUCAAUGGUUUCGUAAAGCUCUGGCAUCAAGAUUUCCAGAUGACAUAGCUAACAACACAACUAUAGUGAUUGAAAUGUGACUUCUUUUAUUUUAUUUUAAAUCCUUGGAACGUCAUUUAAGGAAUAACAAAUAUGUCUAUUUAUUAAGUUUGCGUGCAUACAUACUUGUGAUAUUCUUUAAUAAAAUCACAGAGUAUAUAUUAACAAAACAGAAGAAAAUAAAAAAGAAAGCGGAGGUAACUAAACCGAAAAGUUGCACAAUAAAGAUUUUCUUUUUUCUAUUUUCCUUUUCGGAUGGGGGAGAGUGAGAUUAUUAUUAAAUAUAAUUAUGGAUCGUAAAGCAAAAAAAAGUGUCUUUGCUGGCUCUACAGCCAAAGGGCGUAGAAAUAGUAACUAUACUCAACACUUUGACGGGUGAGGCUGAGACUUAUCAUCUUAUCUUUUUGAAUUAUUAUAAGCUUGUAGAUGCAUUAUUUAAUUGAACUUUGCUUCAAUGACCCAAACACAUGAUAGCAUUACUCUAUUAUGCUGAGCACGAAUUCCUAGGUGGGACAGACACCUAAACAUCAUAAAAAUGGCAAUUGGCAUCUUCUUAGUUCUUGUCAUCAUUUAUUGCUUAUAGCGUGGCCUCUUGCUUCCCUGUUGGCUGAUAAUGGAGAUUCGGUUCCUAAUAUGUUACUCCUUUACGGGGCUUCGAUUCGGAGGCGGAUUCGAGAUUAUAAGAGGGUGGGUGCAUUAUUUUUUAAAAAAUGAUCUAGAAUUUGUAUUUAUUGAGUUUAAUUUUAGUAUCUUAUGAUGAAUUCUUAGCACUUUCGAAAUUAGGUUCAAAGUUAUAUUUUUUUUUUAAAUUUUAGUGAUAUAUAUAUAUAUAUAUAUAUAUAUAUAUAUAUAUAUAUAAAAUAUAUUUCAUGUAGAAAAUAAGAUUGUUCGAAGUAAAUUUGAGCUGUCAAUUUCAUUACAGAACUACACCCAAUAAUAAUUGCAUCAUAAAAAUCUUUAACUAUGGGUGCUCGUAUAUAUAAUUAAGUUAUUUAAAAUAUAUAUAAUAUUAUUAAUUUAAAAAGAGAAGCAUAAGUUCAUGUAAAGUCAUAUCUCUUAACUUAGACACGUAUAUGCUUCGAUAGUUAAAAAUGAUUACAAUUUACACAAAUAAUUUACGUUUUCUACCGUAAAACUUAUUAAUAUAUACAUGACAAGUACUUUAUAUAAAACUUUCGAAUAUUUAUGACUUAAUCAUGAUAAAUUAUAUAUAUUUUAUCUUAUUAAACCGCUUAUCUAUGAUAAUAAUAUAAUUUAAUAAAAACACACGAUGCAAAUACUUAUUUACCCAUUUCUGCUACAGUCAAUUUAGUAAAGGAAAAGGUACUAAAGUUAGGUUGGCCAAGUCAGCCAAGCCAGCUUAUAUAAAAUAAUACUAGAAAUUAAAAAUAAUUUUAGACUAUGAUAAAGCACAUAACAACAGCGAGAACAGGAUGAAGUCAGAGAUGCAACAAAAAAGAAAUUCUACCAACUCCCGAUACAAAGUUAGAGUCCAUUACAUUGCAGUUUAUAAUUAAUUUACCACUAUUUUUUUCCGAUUCCACCUAUUUUAUAUAAAAAUAUUUACCUCGAAUUCCACCUAUUGUGGAUUAAAUAAAAAUAACUAAAACAGAUCGAGUCUUAAGCCGUUAAGCGUCACGGAGUCUAAGCUUAGGGUCAAAAUAAUGAGUCAAAAAAGUAGAAUAACAUUAGCUUAAAUUAUUAUACGGUGAUUGUGUAAUGUUACACUAAUUUUCUCCUCGUGACGUUUUAACGUAUGUCCUGUGGUAGAGAAAUAAAUUUCACACAAAGCAAGAAAAUGGAACAGCGUACCCAAAUUUUUUUAACAAAUAGACAACUGAUAGAAACAAAUUCCCUAUUAAAAGAAGAGGAAUGAAAAAAAUAAGAAAAUUAAAAAAUAGGAACCGCGAAGUUAUUAUUAUUAUUAAUUACUAGCGUAAAAUUUCAACAAAAAGACGAAGAUGGAAAGCAAACUAAGGCGAAGCAAACGAAAAAAUCUACCCAAGUUAAAGCCGCUACAGUAUUUAGCCUAGUGAAAAGCAACUUGUAUUUAGAUGGAAUCAAAUCUAAAUAUGCUAUUGAUAUUGUACAUUAUUUUAAAAUCACGCAAAUUUUAUGUUAAAGAAAACAAAAAAGCUUGUGGAUCCCACAAAAGGCGGGUUAUAUUCCGAUCGCAUUGACGAAAAUUAAACUACAGCUGAGCUAGCAUAUCCUCAUUCCCAAAGUCCAAAGGAUCUAAUCGUAACGAAAGGGGAAGAAAACAGAAAAUAUUUAUUUGCACCAUAUUGUAAGAAAAUUUACAUUACAAAUGCAAUUUAACUUAAGAUAAUAGCAGUUAUUAUUUUUAUUAGGUUAUAUUAUAAAAGCUUAUACGUAAUUACUUAUUACUUUAUAAAUGCUCUGUGAAAAAAAUAUAACGCAUAUAAACACGUAAACUCUGACUUAAAAUAAAGGACGAAAGCUGUGUGUUUCAGGUCAGAAUCACUAAGCUCUACUGAUUAUAUUGCACUAUGAAUAUAAUCAAAUCCACCACUGAUUUAACCUCUCAACCAAAAUUUUCUAAGUAUUCUACAGAAUUUUAAGUAAUUAUAAUUAAACAAAAUGAAUACAUGAUCAGAAGAUGAACUGGUGCUUGAUGAUAAAACAUGUAAGCCAAGUAAGACGAUCAAAGGCGAGCAACAAUUUGAAGAUCAUAGGAAAAACAGUACUCUGCAAAAAAGUUUAAUACUGUAAAAUGAUCACUAAUUAGCGAUCUACAUCGAACUAAAGUUUUAAAAAAAUGAAAAUUAAAACUGAAACGAGAUCUUCAUGUAGAAGCUUCAUCAACAGAUCAAAUACUAGAAAUUUCACCUUAUUUUCAAAAUUUCGAAGCUCAAUAAGUGAUUAGGGAGCCAAAAUAAAUAAUAUAACUUCACAGAUCAAAGUUAUAGUCAAUAAUAAUACACAGAGAGAGUAACAGAGAGAUCGAUGUGAAAAAAAAAACAGAAAAUGAUGAGUUCUUACCUGAGGGAGAGAGACAACGAUUUUGAUUUUCGCUGCUUUACUUUUGUGAGUGAAGCUUUUGUUUUCCAAGUGCCAAAUGAUUUAAAGAGAGAGAGAGAGAGAGAUAUAGAGAGAGAGAGAUAUGAAGAAAGAUUCCGGAGAAAUUGUUGAUAUUUAGUAGCAGAAAAAAGAAAAGAGGAAAGAGACCUUUGCUCUUCUU
rnacentral:lncRNA from 1 species